UACGGGGGGGGCAAGCGUUGUUCGGAAUUACUGGGCGUAAAGGGCGCGUAGGCGGUCAGAUAAGUCAGCUGUGAAAACCUCGGGCUUAACCCGAGGCCUGCAGUUGAAACUGUUUGGCUGGAGUGUGGGAGAGGAGAGUGGAAUUCCUGGUGUAGCGGUGAAAUGCGCAGAUAUCAGGAAGAACACCCGUGGCGAAGGCGGCUCUCUGGGACGGUACUGACGCUGAGACGCGAAAGCGUGGGGAGCGAACAGG
rnacentral:rRNA from 1 species